UACGGAGGAUGCAAGCGUUAUCCGGAAUGAUUGGGCGUAAAGCGUCCGCAGGUAGCAAUGUAAGUCUGCUGUCAAAGCGUCUGGCUCAACCAGAUAAAGGCAGUGGAAACUACAUAGCUAGAGUAAGGUAGGGGUAGAGGGAAUUCCUGGUGUAGCGGUGAAAUGCGUAGAGAUCAGGAAGAACACCGGUGGCGAAAGCGCUCUGCUGGACCUUAACUGACACUGAGGGACGAAAGCUAGGGGAGCGAAUGGG
rnacentral:rRNA from 1 species